rnacentral:rRNA from 1 species
GACGAACGCUGGCGGCGUGCUUAACACAUGCAAGUCGAGCGGUAAGGCCCUUUCGGGGGUACGACGAGCGGCGAACGGGUGAGUAACACGUGGGUGACCUGCCCUCAGCUCUGGGAGUAAGCCUGGGAAACCGGGUCUAAUACUGGAUAUGACUCCAUGACGCAUGUUGUGGGGUGGAAAGCCUUGUGCGGCUGAGGAUGGGCCCGCGGCCUAUCAGCUUGUUGGUGGGGUGGAUGGCCUACCAAGGCGACGACGGGUAGCCGGCCUGAGAGGGC